CUAAGUACAAAACAAAACGAGUGAAUCUACACUCUAAAAUAUAUUUAUAUAUACAUCCGUAUGUAGUCCAUAGUAGAAUCUCUAAAAAGACUUAUGUUUAGGAACGGAGAGAGUAUCUCUGCAUGUUGUGAAACUAAUGCACCAUGCACGCUGUGCCCGUUUGAAUCACGAGAAUGACCCAUCCUUCUAUUUUGGUCCACAGGCACUACAUCACGAAGAAAACAUUCUUUCUUUCCACGCUUAAGCUAAUCAUACUAGUACAGGCAAGAGCAGGCAGAAUCUUCAGACACAGCACUAGCAACUUGCAGAGCAACUUCUCAUGACAAGAUAGAAUGGCAGCUGCUGCGAGAAUAGUUCCUGAAAGGGUUGACGAGGGAAAAAUCAGAUCUCUCUCACUGCUCUUUAUGAAACCUCCUCAAAGAUUACCAAAGAGAUCUACUCCCUCCGUUCCAAAAUAGAUGACUCAACUUUGUACUAACUUUAGUACAAAGUUAGUACUCCCUCCGUCCGGAAAUACUUGUAAGAGAAAUGGAUAAAAAUGGAUGUAUCUACAACAAAAAUACAUCUAGAUACAUCCAUUUCCGAGACAAGUAUUUCUGGACGGAGGGAGUACAAAGUUGGGUCAUCUAUUUUGAAACGGAGGGAGUAUCACUUUUGUUUGAGCAAAUUUGUGGCUGGCACACAUUGAGUCAAUGUAUGGAUGGGAAACAUAAAAUAUGAACAUAUGAAAAUAUAAUUUGACCAACAAAAUAUCAUAAAGUUCUUACCAUUAUCAUAGUUGUCAUCAUUGGCUAAGCAUUUCUAACAUUACUUAUAAUUUUGCCACAGGCUACAAAUUACUUAAUUCUUUUAAUAUAGCAUACAAAACAUGGACAAAACAUUCUUUGUGCUGCUACAGAAUGAAAUUAUUGGACUAGAUCCAUUGACCCUCAUUAAAGAGUAAUUAAACAAGAAUCAAAUAUCUGUCCACCACACAAAUUAGUUUCAGUACCUUCAGCAUCACAAGACUCAGAUAGAACUCAAGUACAGUACCUACAGAGCUGUGUGCAGAAAAUCAUCAAAGUUUUUGUGUUCAGUUAAUCUCCGGUCUCUCAAACAAUUCAAGCACGUCAUUCAACCUGCAAAAUUUGGAUAUACAUAUUUAUUGUUUAUAAUUUCGAUUCAAGUUCAGGCACUUGUUUAUGAAAAAGAGAAAACGCACCAGUCAUGCAAAUCAUCAUGCACAUCAGAGGUUAGUAUUUGUUCAUGGGCCUUGGCAAGGGGAAGCUCAAGGUAAUGGGAAUACAAUAGAUCCAAGUUUGAAAGUCCUACAAGCUUUGCCUCUUUAUCAUCAUCCUUCAGAGCAUUUUUUUAAACAACAUAAGACUAGGAUGUGGCAUUAAGAAGAUCUAACUGAAAAGACAGAACCUCACCUUCACCUUCACCUUCAGGUCAUCACCAGCCUCCAAGUUUGAAAGAGCUCCGAGCUCUGCCUCUUUAUCAUCAUCCUUCAGAACAUUUUUUUAAACAACAUAAGACUAGGAUGUGGCAUUAAGAAGAUCUAACUGAAAAGACAGAACCUCACCUUCACCUUCAGGUCAACACCAGCCUCCAAGUUUGAAAGAGCUCCGAGCUCUGCCUCUUUAUCAUCAUCCUUCAG
rnacentral:lncRNA from 1 species